rfam:Candidatus Altiarchaeales archaeon A3 Ga0073111_1010, whole genome shotgun sequence.
GGGCUUGUAGCUCAGGUUGGUUAGAGCGCACGACUGAUAAUCGUGAGGCCUGGUGUUCAAAUCACCACAGGCCCG